rnacentral:rRNA from 1 species
GCCGGUCUCGCGAAUGAACUUCAGUUUUAGUUUGUCAUGGCUCAGAGCCAACGGCGGUCGGUAGGCCUAACACAUGCAAGUCGAACGGCAGCACAGGGGAGCUUGCUCUCUGGGUGGCGAGUGGCGGACGGGUGAGGAAUACAUCGGAAUCUACUCUGUCGUGGGGGAUAACGUAGGGAAACUUACGCUAAUACCGCAUACGACCUACGGGUGAAAGCAGGGGACCUUCGGGCCUUGCGCGAUUGAAUGAGCCGAUGUCGGAUUAGCUAGUUGGCGGGGUAAAGACCCACCAAGGCGACNAUCCGUAGCUGGUCUGAGAGGAUGAUCAGCCACACUGGAACUGAGACACGGUCCAGACUCCUACGGGAGGCAAGCAGUGGGGAAUAUUGGACAAUGGGCGCAAGCCUGAUCCAGGCCAUACCGCGUGGGUGAAGAGGCCUUCGGGUUGUAAAGCCCUUUUGUGGGAAAGAAAUCCAGCUGGCUAAUACCCGGUUGGGAUGACGGGUAACCCAAAAGAAUAAGACAACCGGACUAAACUGACGUGGCCAAGCAGGACGCNNGNUACAUACGAAAGGGGUGCACAGCGUUACUCCGGAAUGAACUGGGGCCGUAAACGCGUGCGUAAGGUNGGUCGGUUUAAGGACCGGUGUGAAAAGCCCAAGGGCNCACCUGAAGGAAACUUGGCANGAGGAAAUCACCGGGGCGAAACNACACACUGGUGNGGACGACAAGGGGUAGCCGGAAAAUACCUGNUGGGAGCACGUGAAAUGGCAGUAAGAUCCGGNGAAGGAGACAUCCAUGGACAGGGGCAGCAACCNGGGGGCCACCAUUGACCCUGAGGGCCACAACGAGGGCACAACAGGAUANANCCCGGUACCACCGAANAAGGAACGCNUUGGGNACAUGGCCNCAUUAGAACGCUCANGNCCAGAGNACANCACACACAGGAGGGCCCAGGGUAGNNANCCCACNUAACAG